UGCAAUGGCGGCUGUGCGUGGGAGGGCUCGUCCCUGCCGGGUUCCUGUAUCUCCGGUUUACCAACCUGCGCACGGCUGCCACCCAU
rnacentral:antisense_RNA from 16 species